rnacentral:lncRNA from 1 species
GAAGUUUGGAGUAGAGUCGAUCGUGGUUGGAAGAAGUCUGGAAGAGAUUCGGAGAAUAGUCGAUCACUGUAGAAAAUCGGCCGAUAGCAGAGUUCAGAGAGCAUUUGGAGCAGUCCGGUAGAUGGAUGGAGAAGCUCAUGACUAGAGAAACUCGGAGAGCAAUAUGGAAGCUCGGACGAUCGGGGGAGUUCAGCAAGACGCCGCAC